GAGACCUCCUACUCUAACUUGAAUAACUUCUUUACAAAUUUCGAAUACAAUCUGUUUUUAAAUCCUUUUAGUUCUGUUCUUACCACUUGAGGAGCUCUCACUCGAAUUUCUCCGUCUACACUUCUCAUCACCGGAAGAGAAACAAAGAAAAGCAUCCACGUUCUCGUACAAGAUGGGUUGAAGGAAACAAAGCCUUUAGGGACCGUGUCCAGCGUAAAUCUUCUGCUUUGUGAAGUUGACAAGAGCAACAUUCAUAGCACUAUUUGUAUUUUUUUUUUCCUUGAAUACAUCCGUAUGUUGUGUGUGUUUAAAUGUGAAUGUAUAGAUGUAUGUAUAGAUGUAUAGGAUGUGAAUAUGUUUGUAUAGAUGUGUGUAUAGGAUGUGAAUAUGUUUGUAUAGAUGUAUGUAUAGGAUGUGAAUGUAUAGAUAGAUGUAUGAAUAGGAUGUGAAUGUAUAGAUAGAUGUAUGUAUAGGUGUAUAGGAUGUGUAGCGUAGAGAGAGAGGGACACACGAGUGUAGAGGGAAUGGUUGCAGCGUAGAGAGAAGGACACACGAGUGUAGUGUCACUAAGAGUAUGAAUAGUUGGAGCGUAUGAAUAGUUGCAGCGGGGCGGAUUAGUUAUUUCGCAUAAGAGAUUGUUUGCUUAC